UUGACCGUCGGCCUUUACUUCUACUGCAAGGCCACCAGGGGGCGGAGGCCGAGCCGACAGGAGGACAUUGAGCUGGAUUAUGAUGACCUGGGUGUUCCUGCUGAAGAGGAAGGAGCUCAGGGAGCAGAGUAGCAGCUCCAAGGAGCUCCUCUCACACACAUGGGUUUACCAGCUCUUAUAGCUUUUGACCAACGUUAGAAAAUAUAGCUUUCACUCUGAAAGUCACCAGCAAUGUGUGAGUGCCUCAUGUUUCCUGACCUCCUGUCAGCUCCAAGCCCAUUGGUUCCCACUGAAGAUGAAGAUCUUUAAAAAACAUCACAAGUUAGUUUUAUUUAGAAAAGUCAAUGCAGUCGGUGCAGUUUGAAACCACAGACACACCAACCCAGGCCGCUCAGGAACUAAGUUGGCCAAUGAAUGCCAUAUAUUAAUGUUCAAAUAUCCUCUAAAAACAGUGUUACAAUACCCAGUGUUUGAAUCUAAUGUAGUGAUUCCUGAGAUAACAGGAGGAACGCGUUACAGCGCCACCUAGUGUUGGAUUUGUAGACCUCGAGCACAACAACGUUUUUUUAUCAACAAAUAAGAAAAAGUACAGUUUACAAAAUGUUACGUUUUUCACAAUAAUUCAUCUGAUCAGCGAGAUGGGAUAUUUGAUCCCCUUGUGGGUCACAUGGGUCAUUUUAGCAGAAGGACCAGAUUUAGCUGAACAAUAUACAAAUAGGAAUUGAACAAAAGUAAAUAGUCCAAACACUUCUUAUUUCAUAACAAUGCUGAUUUUAUAUUGAAAAAUGUUAUUUCAGAAGAAUUCAGCUUGAUUUUGGUCUGAAGAGAUUGUUUGUAAAAAAAGAGAAAUCCGAACUUUUUUUUAGAGAAAUCCGAUUAUAUUUGUAAAUUGCCAAAAUGUAUAAGAUUUUAACUUUUCUUUCAUUUUCUUAUUUCACGUGUACUGAGCUCAGUUUUGUAAUCAUUUUCAAUCAUUCAGUAUUUUUCUUACUUUAUAUGUAUUUGUCUGUAUUUCGUAGUAAUUUAGCUGUUUUUAAGAACUCCACCUGUUGGAGAGCAUUCCCAAAUUCAUAAGAUAUUAAAUACUAACAUGUUGUAAUUAAAAAUGUACAGCAUUUUGUAGAAGUUUCCUUUUUAAAAGGUAAUGUGCUUUGUUAUGUGAUCAAUAAAUGUGCUUGUUUUUGUAUUAUUGAGGAUUGUACUUAUUUCACAAGAUGAUCAAUAAUAUGUAAUCAUUACUUUUUGGACUUUUAUGAAACAUUUGAAUUUCUUUAGAAUUUCACUUUUUUCAAAGAACUCAGAUUAUUUUUGUGAUUUAGGAUUUUCCCAAAUUCAGGAGACUAAUUAUUUCGUACUUAAAAUGUUAACAUUGUCCGUAAACAAGUGUUGUGAUUUUGGAACCGAGAAAUGUUUUUGCUUCAUAAGAAUUUUGAUUGAU